UGUGUAGCUAAAGUUCUGGG
rnacentral:misc_RNA from 1 species